rnacentral:rRNA from 1 species
CCUACGGGUGGCAGCAGUGAGGAAUAUUGGUCAAUGGACGCAAGUCUGAACCAGCCAUGCCGCGUGCAGGAAGACGGCUCUAUGAGUUGUAAACUGCUUUUGUAUGGGGAUAAACGCCGAUACGCGUACUUGUCUGCAUGUAUCGUACGAAUAAGGAUCGGCUAACUCCGUGCCAGCAGCCGCGGUAAUACGGAGGAUUCAAGCGUUAUCCGGAUUUAUUGGGUUUAAAGGGUGCGUAGGCGGUCGGUUAAGUUAGAGGUGAAAACUCGAGGCUCAACUUCGGAAUUGCCUCUGAUACUGGUCGGCUAGAGAGUAGUUGCGGUAGGCGGAAUGUGUGGUGUAGCGGUGAAAUGCUUAGAGAUCAUACAGAACACCGAUUGCGAAGGCAGCGUACCAAGCU